CGUUCCCAACAUCGACGCAAGGAGACCGGUGGAUUAUCGUCUCGGCGUAUUGUGUAAUAUAAUCGGUCGCGACGAUAAUCCACCGGUUUCCUUGCGUCGAUGUUGGAAAC
rnacentral:pre_miRNA from 1 species